rnacentral:rRNA from 1 species
GGGGAAUAUUGGACAAUGGGCGAAAGCCUGAUCCAGCCAUGCCGCGUGUGUGAAGAAGGUCUUCGGAUUGUAAAGCACUUUAAGUUGGGAGGAAGGGUUGUAGAUUAAUACUCUGCAAUUUUGACGUUACCGACAGAAUAAGCACCGGCU